GAACGAUAGUGAGUCAAAUCUGCCAGACGAUGAACAAGAAGCUCAUGCGAGGCCGACUGGGUGGGACGAGGUGGCACAACACGCCGAAAUUCCAUCAUUCAGCUCUGGACGUAAAUGAGACGUUUGGGCAGAGGAGGUU
rnacentral:ncRNA from 1 species